UGUCUGGAGAGCACGCCCACAGAGAAGGAACGGGCAAUUGGGCUGGCUGACACUUCAAGCGCCAUCUUUCUCGCGGGCGGAACCCGAGCCUGCUUGACCCGCCUCUGUGGCCUACUGGGGCUCCAUGUCCUCUAGAAGACUCUACUCAGCAGGGGAUUGAAGCAGAUGCAGAGACUCACAGCCAAACUUUGGACAGAAUGCAGGGAGUCUUAUAGAAGAAGGGAGAUAUAGAAGGACUUGGUGUGGGAUGUGGGACUGAUUCAGACAGUCCACAGUGGCAAACUCUUGUCUCAGGUGGACACUGAGAGGAGCUCUUUGCCAGCUGCAGAUAGUUUAAAUCUGGGGACUCCGGAGAGAGAAUAAUGCCAGAGCCCAGAGAGGAAUCUCAGAGAAAGAACAAGGCUGCUGCUGCUUCCCCUUGAGGUUCCUAGUUGCUGUUGUUGAUGCAGUGAGACAAGAAGUUGGAGAUCUCGUGAACUGAGGAUUGGACUGGCUCCAAGGAACCUGAUGACCCUAACCAGCAGAAAGCAGCUAAGAGAACUGUGUCCCCUCUCUCACUAACCUUUUCUCUUUCCUACCUGGUGUUGGGGUGUUAGAAGGGAUUGGGAUGGAGUAGGGAGAAAGACAUAAAAAAUGUAAAUAAAGGUUUUUAAAAAGUAUGACAACAAAUUAUGUUGGAAAUUUGAUGGGGAUUGAGUUGAAUUUGUAGAUUGCUUUUGGUAAAAUGGCUAUUUUUAGUAUGUUAAUCCUACUGAUCCAUGAGUUUGGGAGAUCUUUUCAUCUUCUGAUAUCUUCUUCAGUUUCUUUCUUUAAAGACUUGAAAUUCUUGUCAUACAAGUUUUUCACUUGCUUGAUUAGAGUUAUGCCAAGAUAUUUUAUGUUAUUUGUGGCUAUUGUGAAGGGUGUUGUUUGUCUAAUUACUUUCUCAGUCUGUCAUUUGUAUUUAGAAGGGCUACUGAUUUUUUUUAAGUUAAUUUUGUAUCCAGCCACUUUGCUGAAGGUGUUUAUCAGCUAUAGGAGUUCCCUGGUAAAAAUUUUGGUGUUGCUUGUCUAUACUAUCAUAUCAUCUGCAAAUAAUGAUACUUUGACUUCUUUUUUUCUGAUUUAUAUCCCCUUGAUCUCCUUUAGUUGUUUUAUUGCUCUAGCUAGAAUUACAAGUACUAUAUUAAAUAGACAUGGAGAGAGUGGAAAACCUUGUUUUGUCUCUGAAUUUAGUGGAAUUGCUUUGAAUUUCUCUCCAUUUAAUUUGAUGUUGGGUAUAGGCUUGCUGUAAAUUGCCUUUAUUAUGUUUCAAUAUGUCCCUUUCAUCCCUAAUCUCUUCAAGACUUUUAUCAAGAAGGGUUGUUGGAUUUUGUCAAAGGCUUUUUCAGUAUCUAAUGAGAUAAUCACAUGUUUUUUCCUUUUAAUUUGCUUACUACAUUGACAGAUUUUUUAUGUUGAACCAUCCAUGCAUCACUGGGAUGAAGCCUAGCUGAUCAUGGUAGAUGAUCUUUUUGAAGUGUUCUUGAAUUUGUUUUGUGAGUAUUUGUUGAAUAUUUUUUAAUCACUGUUUGUGAGGGAAAUUGGUCCAUUUGCUUAGAAAAUCUUUUUCCAAGCCUUAACUUGGAGGUAAUGUUUAUCUUUGAUGUUGAGGUGUGUUUUUGUACACAGCAGAAAUAUGGAUCCUGUCCAUUCUGUUAAUCUGUGUCUCUUUAUUGGGAAAUUGAGUCCAUUGACAGUGAGAGAUAUUAAUGACAAGUGAUUGCUAAUUCCCUUUGUUCUUGUUGUUGUUGUUAAUGGUGGCAGUAGUCUGUGUGUGUGUGUGUGUGUGUGUGAGUGAGUUUGUGUGCUUCCCUUCUUUUGGCUUUGCUGGUGUGAGAUUAUUUCCUGUGUUUUUAUGGCAUAGUUAAAGUCCUUGGGUUGGAGUUUUCCUUCUAGUACUUUCAGUAGUGCUGGAUAAAUAUUGCUUAAAAUUGACUUUGUCAUGGAAUAUCUUGCUUGUUCCAUCUGUGGUGAUUGAAAGUUUUGCUGGAUAUAGUAGUCUGGGGUGGCAUCUGUGGUCUCUUAGAGUCUGCAAGACAUCUGUCCAGGCCUUUCUGGCUUUUAGAAUUUGUUUGAAAAGUCAGUUGUAAUUCUACUAACUAUGCCUUUAUAUGUUGUUACUUAGCUUUUUUUCCUUUGCAGUGGUUAAUAUUCUUUCUUUGUUUUGUAUAUUCAGUGUUUUGAUUAUUGUGUAUUGAGAGGAAUUUCUUUUCUGGUCUUCUGACUGUCUUUCUUUUUUAAGACAGGGUCUCACCAUGUAGUCCUGGCUAGCCUGGAAUUUUCUAUGUAGUACAUCAAGCUGACCUUUAACUCAAAGCUCUGCCUGCCUCUGCCUUGCCAGUGCUGGGAUUAAAGAUGAGUAAUGCAACACAUGACUAAUUAUGUAUUUCUAAACCAAUGACAGACCCCCAAUUCCCGUAAACACCUGGGAACAUUAUUUUUACUGUUUCAAGAAGAGUACCUGAAUGAUGGCAUGAGUGAUUUAGUUUCAGAAAUAUAGAUGUGUGUGUGUGUGUGUGUGUGUGUGUGUGUGUGUGUUGUGGGAACGUGCCUUAGAACUCAAGAGGCAUAAUAGGGCCAUUUGCUAAUAAUAGCAGCAGACAAUAUUGACCAAACAUGGCUUGAUGUUGGUAGAGUUCCUCUAAAAACAAUAAGCAAAGACACAAAACCCUUACUCCAAAACAAUACAAAUUUUUAGAAGGGUGCUCUGACAUUGGUAUUCCAAUAGGAACUCUGAAAAUUUGGGUGAUGCCCAUCAGUUGUCAUUCGGUGAAGGAAUAAGGUAUUUUUUCCCAGUCAUGGGAACAUCUCUGCAUCUAGUUAUUUACAAGAGUUAUGAGAAAACUCUACAUACCCUCCAGUGUUUGCCUCAUGGCCCAUCCUUUCUACCAUUUUAGGAUGUCUGGGGGAAAAAAAAGCUGGCUCCCUGGAUACUCCUCAACUUUCUCUCAGUUAAUUUGCACAACUUAAUUGUAUAUGUUAGUUAAUUGUCACUAUUAAAAGCAUAGAUCUUGACCUGGAGGGAUUGAAGCAUAGGACAGAUUCUUGUUAAUUACCAACUGUGAUCUCAGAUAACUGAGAAUAGAAAACUCCCUCAAGGCCUGAGAGUGCUUGAUUAACACAGAGAGAGUUUCCCAAGAGUGUAGCAGCUGAAGCCCACAGGCUGCCAGAGCUUUCUACCAGUAUGGCUACCUUUAGCAUGAACUUUAAGGAGUGCAGUAAAUACCACUUUGAAGUUGUUUUUCUUUGACCUACUGAUAAGAGAUUGUAUUUAAUGAAAGACCAUUUUCCAUAGUUUGUACAUAUUUAAGCUAUUAUUUUCUUUAAAUCAAUCUUAGCUUUUAGACAUUAAUUAUAUUAAAGGAAUAUUUUUAGCUUAUGCCCACAGUGCAAAACUAUUAUUACUUCCCAUAAAUAAAAGAUAAGUGUGAAAUAAGUAAAAGUCUCUGAAGCCACCUCCCAUGUUUGGGAAUGACUUAGGACCAUGAAUUUGAGAUUUGGAAUUAGAAGACCAGACUUGUUAUCAGCUCUGCUGCUUCUAUGUUCUCUGUUCAAACACACACACACACACACACACACACACACACACACACACACCAAUCACUUAACUUCUCUAUGUCCUAGUGGCAUCAUCUGAAAGGGAAAAGGGAAGAUUCAAGGGCAUGGUGACAAUGCCCAUUGCAAAAAAAAAGGGGGGGGAUUAUAAUUGACACUUGUCCUUGUAUUGUCUCCUCCUUUUCUCCUUCUCCUCCUCCUCUUCUUCUUCCUCUUCUGGGAGGGGGUGUUGUUUUUUUAAGACGGUAACAGCCUAGCUGUCCUGGCCUCAAACUAACAGAAACCUCCCUGCUUCUGCUUCCCGAGUGCUGGGAUUAAAGGGAUUAAAGGCCACCACUUCUUGGCCCUUCUUUAUUUCUCAGAUGUGAGGCCAAAUAGUUUACAAAGGAAAAUGAAUGUUGCCUAUUAAUUUUAAGCCCAAAGUUAAGGCUGGCAUGGUGUAUAGGUCACUUAAUUGGUAGUGGGUUUUGGGUUGCUUCCUUGAGAAGGGCUGGGCUGUCAGUACUGUGGUUGACGACAGAUGCUUUCUCCAACCAUGGGCAGAGGGGUGGUUGGUGCAACACACCGACAUCACUUACCUCUGGUCUGCUCUUCACCAAGCCCCCUUAACUCUGAAGAACGCAUGUUGGAAAUCACCUUUCCUUAAGUGGGUUCUUUCUUUUCAAAAAAGCUGCCCAAAGUCAACUUAGAUAACUUAUACUUCUUAAGCAUCUUAUCCUGACAUAGUCUCCAGGAAUGAAGCCCUGUCAGGCUAUCUCAUUUAGUCUCCACCUUCUUACUCUCCUGAAAUGACUUGCCAUCCUGACCAAGGACUCCUGUAGAGUGGGAGGCUGGGAGGAAGAUGCUGCUUGUAAGACUGUGGCUACUGUGCUAAGGCUUCCUCUGCCAUGCCACAGAAGGUGAAUGUGUCCCUUCUCAGGGAGGCCGCAGGGAUGGAACACUGUGUGAGGCCUGUGAUCUACCUACUGUUGGGGUUUCCUCAACAUCUAGCUGAGUGCUAAUUUACUAAGAUCUGCAAGAGUCGUUGCAGUGGGAAAUGCUAUCGCUAUCAAUUGGGAUACAGUAGAAAAACUAUAGGAUGUAAAAACCUAUUUAAGACAUUCCCCCUUUCUCUAUCUCACACUCUAAAAUGAACCAAUAAACAAAUCAUUAACACACAGGAAAAUUCUUCUUCUGAGGCUUACUGCUCUGUCCUUGUAGGAAAGGAAUAUUGCAGAAGGAAACUUGACAAAGAAUACUUUUGGGGAGCUUAACUUUGAAAUGACAUUUUGGUGCCAACAGAUUCUAAGAGCUGACAUCAACACUUCUAAUAUCUGUGCAUUACUGUUUAAUACAAUAGGUUAAGUGUUGCUUAGGGGAGUUUAGAAUUAUUCACUUCUCAAAAUCGAAAAGGAUGCUCAUUAGCUCUCUUAUUACUUCUCUUGAAAAUUUGCAUUGCUCCUAUCAUCCACAAAACGCUCCUGGAAAUUCUUAUUACUAAUAAAUCCAUAACCUUUCUGGCUUCUUUUGAAAUAGAGGAUAUGGUAGAGUCACUCAGGAAAUAGAUACUGUACUGAUGGCAUCAAUUGAAAUGAGUUGUAGCUGAGAGAAAGGUGCUUUGUGAAGCAUUUCAAUGCGACAAAGACAAGUUUAGAAAUAAUCACUUACUUUACGACUACAUUUCAUAAUCUUGCUCACCCAGGUAUUUGUAACAAACACAUCCUGGACCCAUAAAAUGGUAGAGACAGACAAGCUGGCAACAUGGUUGAAGAGGAAUUGAUGUUUAUGGAGGGGCACUUGAGCAUUUUGAAGAGUUUUCAAUAAGAAGCGUCUUCUUUUAUGGACAUCUUUAGGAAGGGGAUUGGAUUCAGGUGGCACCUAUGAAACUUCCCCACUGUCUCCUUACUGCAUUCCUAUUGCUGUUCCUCUGCCCGUUAGAUGCCACAGAUCUGCUAGCCUGUAUACUAGGAAAUGACCAGAAGCCUCAUCUUCCUCAAACAUUGCCUAUAUGCCUAUGAUGUGUGUGAGGCCGUGCAGUUAAUUCCUUUGUGACUUGAUUGUCUGAGCUGUAUAAUUCUUGUGCUGUUAUUUGGGAAUCUGAAUUUCGUGUUACAUAAGAAAAAAAUUCCAGUAUGAUGAGGGGUUUAAACAAUUUGUUACUAGACUUUCUGAGCUAAAAGGUGAAGUUCUUAAUUUUGGCAUUUAAUGUUUUUAUUGAAAAUAAA